rnacentral:rRNA from 1 species
GACGAACGCUGGCGGCGUGCUUAACACAUGCAAGUCGAACGAUGAAGGAGAGCUUGCUCUCCGGAUUAGUGGCGAACGGGCGAGUAACACGUGACUAACCUGCCCCUUUCUCUGGGAUAACGCUCCGAAAGGAGUGCUAAUACCGGAUACGAACUCUGAACACAUGUUCGGAGUUGGAAAGUAUUUCGGCAAGGGAUGGAGUCGCGGCCUAUCAGCUUGUUGGUGAGGUAACGGCUCACCCAGGCGACGACGGGUAGCCGGCCUGAGAGGGCGACCGGCCACACUGGGACUGAGACACGGCCCAGACUCCUACGGGAGGCAGCAGUGGGGAAUAUUGCACAAUGGGCGAAAGCCUGAUGCAGCGACGCCGCGUGAGGGAUGAAGGUCUUCGGAUUGUAAACCUCUUUCAGUAGGGACGAAGCGAAAGUGACGGUACCUAAAGAAGAAGCACCGGCUAACUACGUGCCAGCAGCCGCAGUAA